CCUGGCAGUCUUAGUCUUGUGAAGAGAGCACUGGACUAGGAGUCAGAAA
rnacentral:pre_miRNA from 1 species